UGUAACUAGGGGGCGGGGGACGUGGUGAUGCGGAGGGGGGGAGCGUUAGCCGGAUUUAGUGGUGGUAAAGGGAGCGUAGGCGGGAAUGCAAGUCAGAUGGGAAAUCGCCGGGCUCAACCCGGAAACGGCAGUGGAAACUGUAUGUCUUGAGUGAUGGAGAGGCAAGUGGAAUUCCUAGUGUAGCGGUGAAAUGCGUAGAUAUUAGGAGGAACACCAGUGGCGAAGGCGACUUGCUGGACAUUAACUGACGCUGAGGCGCGAAAGCGUGGGGAGCAAACAGGAUUAGAUACCCUUGUAGUC
rnacentral:rRNA from 1 species